UCUCGCUCGCUCUCUCUAUAUAUAUAUUUAUAUUCUUUUUUUCCUUUUAAUAUUUUACCAAUAAUACUCCAAAGCUCUGCCCCGUUUUAAGUGUUUUAACCCCUGAUCACUGAUACCCUUUCCGAUUAAUCUAGGGCCCCGUAACGCAUGUCAAGGCUCUGCCCGACUAAGUUCGUUGGGGUUCUGUCUCGUGACGUAGGGAUAAAGUUGAAUUGGGUUACUAUACUUAACACGAGUACAUUAUAUGUUUUAUUAAAAACCUCAGGAGUUAUACCUAAGAUUCUACAAGGAGGCUUUUAGUUGAACCCUAAAGUUACAAAGUAAUUUGCUGUAAAGAUAAUAGUAGCCAGCUAUGGAGCACUGAAGGCUUAAAUAAAGUGGCUAUGAAUACCUGAAUAAAAGAAGAAAUUAUGUUUUAUUUAUUUGGGUUUAUCCCUAUAAAAACAAUUGAAUUAAAUAUGGGUUUGAGCCCAUUUAUUUAAUAUUAAAGUUGGUUUUUUUAUAAACUCUGAAAUUAUUUCCUAACUACGAUCCUAAUGAAAAAAAAUUUUCCGCUACGUAUUUAAUAAACACCGGUACCAUCUGACUGGUUCGCGGCUCCCGCUCCCGGGGUGGGGUCGGGGGCUCUGAUAGUGAACCGAUCAUAGAUCGAUACAAUGUCUGAUUAACAGGGCUUCCCUCAGGUUCCUCAGUCAACAACGGCCGCUCUGCAAUUGGGGAGUCUAUCGACUUUGAAUCUGUCAUGCUGAAAUUUGCAAGAACGUCGUAUACAUAUUUACUCUGAUGAAUCAAGAUUCCUUGGUUACUCUGACGUAC